rnacentral:rRNA from 1 species
GAUGAACGCUGGCGGCGUGCCUAAUACAUGCAAGUCGAGCGAACAGACGAGGAGCUUGCUCCUCUGACGUUAGCGGCGGACGGGUGAGUAACAUGUGGAUAACCUACCUAUAAGACUGGGAUAACUUCGGGAAACCGGAGCUAAUACCGGAUAAUAUAUUGAACCGCAUGGUUCAAUAGUGAAAGACGGUUUUGCUGUCACUUAUAGAUGGAUCCGCGCCGCAUUAGCUAGUUGGUAAGGUAACGGCUUACCAAGGCAACGAUGCGUAGCCGACCUGAGAGGGUGAUCGGCCACACUGGAACUGAGACACGGUCCAGACUCCUACGGGAGGCAGUAGUAGGGAAUCUUCCGCAAUGGGCGAAAGCCUGACGGAGCAACGCCGCGUGAGUGAUGAAGGUCUUCGGAUCGUAAAACUCUGUUAUUAGGGAAGAACAAAUGCGUAAGUAACUAUGCACGUCUUGACGGUACCUAAUCAGAAAGCCACGGCUAACUACGUG